GGGACUGUAGCUCAGUGGCAGAGUGCUUGCCUAGCAUGCAUGAGGCACUGGGUUCAAUCCUCAGCACCA
rnacentral:tRNA from 1 species